rnacentral:rRNA from 1 species
AUUGAACGCUGGCGGCAGGCCUAACACAUGCAAGUCGAGCGGAUGAAGGGAGCUUGCUCCUGGAUUCAGCGGCGGACGGGUGAGUAAUGCCUAGGAAUCUGCCUGGUAGUGGGGGAUAACGUCCGGAAACGGGCGCUAAUACCGCAUACGUCCUGAGGGAGAAAGUGGGGGUUCUUCGGACCUCACGUAUUCAGAUAAGCCUAGGUCGGAUUAGCUAGUUGAUGGGGUAAAGGCCUACCAAGGCGACGAUCCGUAACUGGUCUGAGAGGAUGAUCAGUCACACUGGAACUGAGACACGGUCCAGACUCCUACGGGAGGCAGCAGUGGGGAAUAUUGGACAAUGGGCGAAAGCCUGAUCCAGCCAUGCCGCGUGUGUGAAGAAGGUCUUCGGAUUGUAAAGCACUUUAAGUUGGGAGGAAGGGCAGUAAGUUAAUACCUUGCUGUUUUGACGUUACCAACAGGAUAAGCACCGGCUAACUUCGUG